CCAUCUCCGGUGGUGUUUUAUGUUAUAAUGACGUUUUGACUUUUGUUUUUUUUUUUUUUUUUUUGAACACUAUAAUGACGUUUUGACAAAGACACUUCUGUCUUGUUAAAAUCUACUUCAGUUACACUUAUAAGAUGGGAGCUGUCUAAUCUUUGAGAGGUGAUCAUAACCGUUGGAUCAAAAUGACGAAUCCAUCUGACGAUAGCAAAAGAAGACAUUAGGAGAAUCAAACUUUAACAGCUGCUUCAGUUUUCAUUCAUUCGAUUGUGUUAGAAGGAGGGGGAGUUGCUGAGUUCGCAAUCACAAGUAUAUAUAUCUGAAAGAUGAGAUACCUGCUGAUUGGCAUGCUUUUGAGGGCAUUGGGGACAAAGCCACGGUACAAGCCAAUAACUCCUUCACGCUCAACGAUGCCUACAAAACGGUUUAAGGAUAAACCGUUCAGAUCAGUCUUCCGUUUCUUGAAAAUGGUAUCCAAGGGAUAGCAAGUACCAGAGUAGAGGUCAUGCCAGCACAAGCACCAGCACCAAGACUUCCAAGAACAGACAAUUCACCGUCUUCUCUGCUAAAGAGUUUCUGAAUUAAGAAAAAAAAAACAUAAAAAGACAGUUUUGAAACUUGUCAAAUGAAAAGCAGAAGCAGAUGUGACAAACCUUGUAGGUUUCAUAUGCAUACAACUGGAUCGCGCUAUAAGGUACGAUACUUAUCACCUGGAACAUUCAAAAGGCUAAUAAGAUUAUGAAUAAUAAAAUUACAUUUGGGACAUACCUGUAUAUAUAUAAAGAGAGAGUGAGAGUACCUGAGGUAGGUUUCCUUUCCAAUAACCUUUAACACCUUCUUCUCUUUUAACAUUAUCGCCUGUAGUUAUAUUCCAAAAUUUAAAUUACAAAAAACAAACCAAAUCAACAAUGACCAGUAAGUAAGAACCAAUCCUGUACUUAUGAGAAUAUUAUAUAUACCUCAAUGAAACCAAUAGCCUUGUUAGCAGUUUGUUACCCAGCGCUCGAACACAAUGUGUCUAUAUAAUAAUUAUUUAAAAUAAGACGUCAAUUAAAUGAACUAAUCUUCGGCGUACUACGAGGGGUCUUGAUCUUAUGAUAUCAACUGGCAUAUAUAAAAAUAUUGUAGAUUUGCGGUUGAAAGCUAGAGAAGCUCAAAAGAGUGCUUAGAAGAUUGAUGGAGAAAGAAUUGUCGGCUUUUGGUAAAAGUGUAUUAUUGAAAACUUUGCAUGCUUAAUUAUGCUAUAUACGGUUUUUAUUUUUAUUUAUAUCAAUAGACUUAUACUUAUAAGAGAAUAAGUCCAAAAAACACCUAGAAAUUUAAUGCAAGAUGGCACUGUCUGUGGGGAAGAAAGUGAGUAAAAAUGUAACAUCAUAGUUUUGAAAUGAUUAUCAGAUUGCGUUGCUUGUUGAACCAAUAAGGAGAAUAAGACCAAGAACUUAGAGAAAUUUAGGGGAAGAUGCCAAAAAAAUCUGUGGGGAAGAAAGUGAGUAAUAUUGCAGGUUUGAAACAAUUAUCAGAUUCUGUUGUUCUUUUAAGUUUUGUGAAAGUUGUAUUUUGAUAAAACGACUGAAAGCGUGUGAUAGGUUAAACAAAAAUAUAGUAUAGGUUUUGAAUACGUGCUGUAAAAAGAAGAUAAUAUUUUUUUAUAAUUUUCUUUUUCGAUUGAUCCUAACUUCUAUAGAUCACACUUUUGAUGACGUGGCCUUAUUGGCACCGUCUAAUCAUCCCUCUUUGGAAAAAAAAACGUGUAUUCAAGGUUUAAUGAUGAAACCAAAGUUUCUCUUGUGCUGCAAGUAAACCCUCUGAGCUCUCAAUUGUUGCUUUCUGCGGUUGAGAAGAGUUUCAUACCAUCACCGCUUUCACACAAAGCCCCGACGGCCUAAUCUUUCAGGUAACCAUGUCAGACUUUUGGUUUUAAGUUUAACUCCUUUGUACACCAAUUAAUCAGUUGAUUUACAUUUUUAUCAUCACUAAAGCAUGGAUUAAAGGUUAGUAGUAUCUUCCUUCUUCUCUAGAAAAAAAUAUUAGGGUUGAAUUAAUCUAAAUCUUCCGAGAUCAACUUCCGAGUUAAAGUGAUGAGUCAACUUCCGAGAUCAACUCGACCACCUUGACUCGGUGAGUUCCGUCGCGAGCUAAGAAAACGUUAUAUAUAUAUCCGUACUAAGUUCCUUCCCUCAACCUUUUCUCUCCCACGGCGGUCCAAUUACCCGACGGAGACACUGCCGGAGAGAAAUCAGCGAUUCCAGGCGGUGUCAGCCUGCUGAGUCAGCUUUAGUUUGUAACUCGGUCGAGUUAUAUAACCCUAACUCGGUUCAAUAUACGUCUUUGCCUCCUUAGCUCACGGUCUUGUCAAAUGCCUUUAGAACCUUUGAACACGUUUGGGAAGAGAGAACCUCGUUUGUUUGAUUUCGUUCUUGAUUGUUCUUUGUUUGAUUUCAAAUCCAAGUAGAUUCAAGAUAGGAAUCGUUCCUACACCGAUGCUAGCCGAGACGAUCAGAACCAAGUGUUUGAGUUUGAGCAAAGUUAGUAUGUUUUAUGGAUGGGAUCAUGACUACUGAUCUACCUCUCGGUAGCUCGGAAGGGUGGAUUGCUUGCUGCUAACGUUACACCAAGAUUGUCAUGUCUCCAGAGGAAGCUACAUUACUUCGAGUUUCUCUCCCCUCUGUCUGAAACAGAAGAGCAGGGACCGGUUGGUUCAACCGAAGUCAACAUCGGACAAGCAGGAGUACGAAGGUUGUCAUUACUAACUACGCAGGGGUGUGAUCGUUGGUUUCUACAACAAAACUCCACAACUCAAGUUCAUAUGCAGGAGGAACCUGAUUCUCUCCAUCAACAUCGACAAGAACACUGAACGAGGCCUUCAGCUGUCAGAAGAGACUCUCAGAAGAAAAGGAUUGAAGUCAUUGACUUCUCAAGCCAUGUUGAUGUGGCUGAUAGUUGUGGACAGUUUAAGAUGCCAAGAUGUGUGACGCCAAGUAAUGCUUAGGUUCCUCAGAUUCUUUGUGAGAAUGUGGUGAGUAGGUUCUUUAGUACAGCUUUUGACUGAAUAUUGUGAAAUCAAGAAAAGUAUUUUUUUUUUCUGUUUGUCUAUGGAUAUAGUUUACUUUUGUUAUUUUAAAACAGCAUAAGGAUAAAUACUAAAGAAACAGAUAAAGUCCAUUGUCACUUACAAAAUGAAACAAAUGGAACACUAUUAAUAUAGUUUCUGCUUAAUAAUCAAUAAAAAGACUAUUAAUACAGAUUUUCCUUACUAACUUUUUCUUCUCUUUUUUUUUUGUGUUAGAUGGGAUUUGCAGAUGCUCCACCGGAUUUUCGUGGUGACAGCAGUCUCACCGUAGGAGCUUGGGCAGGGCCGGUCUUAAGCACAAGCGAGGGAAGCGGCCGCUUAGGGCAUCAUAUUUAAGGGAAAUUUUUAGUUGUAUAUAGGGCAUAAAAAAAAUUUUACAUGAACAACAAAGACAUAAAGUUUUAAGUGAGCUUAGGGCAUCAAAAAAAAAUUGAAAAUGUUGGACCGGGCACUCAUCAUUGGCGUGAUCCUGCUGAUUAUCAUAUGCCGCGGAUUGACCUACGGUUGCUGGGAGCGGCAACAGACAUCACCGCAGAUCUUCCCGGAUGGUGACGUGGAGAUGAACUGAAGCAAGAAAAAGAUUGUAUUGCAUCACAUAUAGAAAUGCUAUUAGUUCAAAUUACUUAUUAGUAUUAGUGCUACAAAAUAUGUUAUUUAAUAUUAUUAUUAUUGACCUGUCUAGCAUCAAUAUAUUAUUAUUGACUUGUUAACAUCAACAUCAAUUCGAUGACUCAUGUUUAUAUAAAUUUAUACUAAUCACAUUUUCUGCUAAAA